ACGAAGGUCUUCGGAUUGUAAACUCCUUUUAGGGGGGAUGAAUGAACGGGUGAAUAGCCGGAAUGACAGUACUCCCUGAAUAAGCCACGGCUAACUACGUGC
rnacentral:rRNA from 1 species